GGGUUUUACCACACUCUUGGAUAAUUAACCUGGGACUAAUUGAUACAGUCGGUUUUGUAUCUGGCCAAGUGUUUAAGUUUCAGAUCGACUAAACUUUAUUUUAGAGUAGAAAUCCUUUUAUUAAUCCUGGGUUCCAUAGUGGUGUUUCUAUUCCCUCUUGCUCUGUGUUAAUUUAAUCUUUUGCAUGUAUGGAGUGCCUUGAAAUUGAUACUAUAAAGGCACCAGAUAUUCCCACAGGUUUUCUGCUUGUUUGUGUGAUUUUUCCUGUUUCUUUUAAUUAGAAAAGUCUAGAUAUGGAAACAACUGGUGAAGAAACAGCGGACAAUCCAGGUAGCAUUCUAAGCUACUUCUGUUCUAAAUUUCCUUGACUAUACCCUAGCCAAAAGCUUUUUCUUAAGCAAUUGAGAUGGACUUAACUACUAGGUAUUUUUCAUCUAUUAAAAAAAAAAUCUGUGUUGCUCUUGACAUUAGAAGCCAAGGCCACAGAUUCUAGGGCAGUACUGGUAAAGAGCUUAUGGAUUUUCAGACAGAAAAGUCCCAAACCCUGGUGUUUUUCCAGAAAAAAUACAUGCUAAAAGGCUGUGGACAGGCGGGAAUACCUGUAGGGAGGGCAUUAUAUUCCUGAUUUUCUGAAUAGCAGAUUUUCUCUCUGGUGGAUUUGCAGCAAAACUUUGCCUGUAAAAAAAAAAUCUGUUAUUUUCAUGACUCGUGUUAAAGGAGUUAAAUAAUUUCCACUAUCACCUAAUUUUUCACUUACAGUUUUAUGGUGGACAAGAGAUUGGUUUAUCCACUACACCUGAAUAUUAGGCUGAGGUACCUAGGUUUGACUAGCCAAAAAAAGGAUGCUAAAUCUUUCCAUGCUUCUUUCUAUCCUGCAGGCAACACUUCUUACUCAUCCUUGUAAAAUCAUUUGAGGUUUUGUAUCUAUGACCGUGUGAGUAGUAAUUACCAGUAAUUCUGAACAGAGAGGGAAGAAAAAGGCUUAGAAUCAUUACAUUUCAUUUUCUUUUACAAAAAAAAAAAAAAAAAAAAAAAAAAAAAAAAAAAGGCAUGGAUUCUGCUGUCUUUAUUUGCAUAGCCAAGUGAUUUAUUUCUGUACACAUUUUCUGUCAGAGAUUCCUGUAUUAUUUUGUUAAGUAAAGACACUAUGGAUUAUUGUUUUGGUAUAUAUGCAAUGUUCAAUGUAAAGUGGUUUCAUGAAGAGAACUGAAAUGAGACACAGAUGAUUCAUUUACACAUUUAUUUACUAUCCUGCUUAUUCUAUCAGACUGAAAUGGAGAACAAUGCAUUUAUUUUAAAGACAUUUGACAUAAAUUAAACAGAUAUUUUGAUGUUGAACAAUUGUACAGACUACAACAUGCAUAUUAAUAUGUAGAUUGGUGCAGGGAUACUUAGUUGAUCAGCAAAAUCUAGUAUGACAAAAAUAAUAAUCACAUUUCCUUUUUUAUGAAGUUAAAAUGCAGCUGAUAUGGAAACAUUGAUACGAAUACCACUAAAUGUGAGAAGUUAUUAGUCUAAUGAAAUCAAAUGGUUAGUUGAAAAAAUAAAGCUAUUGUCAAAGUUUUAUCUACAGAAAGAAACUAAAUCAAAAUGUUUCUAACAAAUACAAUAAUAAUGAAAAAAGCAUGUUUGAUGCAAUUACCAUUGCAAAAUGCCCUAUUAUUCCCCUGCCCCACCCCAAAUACAAACAAUGCAUGAAGCAAAAGCAGCAUAUUCUCCCACAAAAUAUCUGGGGCAUUUUGUAAAGGCAGAUGAAUGAGAUUAGACAAGACUUAUCACAUAUGCUUUUAUCUCCUAGUGACAGUACUUUUAAAGAAAGAUACGUUAUUAACAGAGCAAUGUAUGAUGAAAUGUUGCUAAAUCUGUAAAACUGAACAAUAGUGAAGACACUGCUAUUGCCCCAAGAGAACUUGAAAAAAUACUGUUGUGCUUUUUUUGUUUGCAGCAUUCAGAGCAUUCACAGAGGAAUACAAAGAAAGUUCAUUAAACUCCAUAAAACUAAUAAUAGUCAUGCUACUGUAUCUAUGAAACUAACACAGUAAUAACAUAGAAACAUGAAUCAGUACAUAUUUAAUUUGAUAUUUACAGUGAUCUUAAAGCAGUAGGCUAUGUUUUCAAUGCUCAGCUUCUUUGUACACUAAUCCCUCCAUGUUUCAGUUUAUCAGCAUGGCUCCUUUGAUUUUUGAAAGAGUUGCACAAGUAAAACUCUGCAGAACUCUGAUAAUUUAGACAUAUGAAUCCAGAACUCUGCAUCCUAGCAGAAGUAUUCAUGAUUGUCCCCAACAGUUUUUUUUAAAUUUCUUUUUUAAUGUAUUUAGUAACGUGUUAGAAACUGUUUUGCGUAACACUAUAAUAUAUUGCUCCAUCCUUCAGUUUUAUACAGGCAGAAUUCCCACUGGCAUUCUGCUUAAGGACUUCAAGGACAGGCAUAAAUGUUUUGUAUUCUGAACCUUCACAGAGAGAUGCUAUCUGAGUAAAACUUAGAGCAAAAAUACCACUACAAGAUUUAUGUACUCCACCUUGAAAUGAUUAAAAUAAGUAAGAUAAGGAACAGGCUUUUUUGUUCCUUGCAUUACUGUACAAGGUACAUCCCAGACAUCAGAGCAACAAAGCACACAACCAAAACCCUACUAGUUCCUCAAUUUAAAUAAAUUUCAGCUGGUGAUCCAAAUAGGAAGAUAUCUCGACAUGGCAAAUCGGCACAAAAUAGUCAAGCUGGGCUUCUGAUCCUCCAUCAAUGCACAGCAAUUUGCUUUUAUUCAUACUAGUAUAAAGUAAGGGUUACUGUUAAGUGAAAUAAAGCUCCUUGCAAUCAGUUUAAUCAUUCCACUGAUUUUGGAGUAAGUCUAGUGCUGUCUGUACUGUCUUCAUCAUAUGUAACACCAACUUUAGAGUAAAUUCACUGUAGAAAUAUGCAGUAUAUAGAGUUUGGUCCAAACUAUGAAACACAACUAUCCAAUGGUUAUCAAUAAUUUUUUGUUUAAAGAUUUUACUUGGGUUAACUUGGGGAACACACUGGGAACAAUUUAAUCUUAGGCAACAUAUUGCUUUUUUAUGUAAUACCACUGCUGAAAAUGGCAACAUUUGCUUGAUUAAGUGAUUUAGCCAAGAGCUACAUGGGCUCUAGAAGACAGUAGCCAUCUACGUCUACAUUAGCAAGUUGUACAAUACCAGGAGAUUUGUUGAAGGCAACCGUUUGUACUGACAGUAUACAUUAUUGGGGUACAAUUUUUGGACUUGCUGUCAUCUGGUAUCAGGGCCUGAAUGCUUUGUCCUGCCUGCAGCAUAGCUGGUGCCAUCAUGGAAGAAGAUUUCUGGUUCAACUUCACCUAAAAGUAGUCCAAUUUGCAUGGUGCAGUGUUGGGAAGGAUGCUCUCCCUACAGUGCAGGAUUGUUCGGUUAUUGAACCAAAGCAUGAGAAGUGGGGGUAGCUGAGAUGUCAAGAGAUUGCUCCUGGUUUUCUCUAAGAUGCCAGUGUAAACGUAUCCAUAGACUUCCAGAUUUAGAAGUGUACAUUGUUCCUGCUGAUGCUAAAUAUGUAUUUAAAUAGUUAUUUGAGUUAAAAAAUUACCCUAAUAAAAUGAAUUAUACAGACUGCUAUUAGAUUCAUGGUUUAUGUUAAUCACAGGACUACAGUCA
rnacentral:lncRNA from 1 species